rnacentral:rRNA from 1 species
ACAUGCAAGUCGAGCGGACAGAUGGGAGCUUGCUCCCUGAUGUUAGCGGCGGACGGGUGAGUAACACGUGGGUAACCUGCCUGUAAGACUGGGAUAACUCCGGGAAACCGGGGCUAAUACCGGAUGGUUGUUUGAACCGCAUGGUUCAAACAUAAAAGGUGGCUUCGGCUACCACUUACAGAUGGACCCGCGGCGCAUUAGCUAGUUGGUGAGGUAAUGGCUCACCAAGGCAACGAUGCGUAGCCGACCUGAGAGGGUGAUCGGCCACACUGGGACUGAGACACGGCCCAGACUCCUACG